ACGAUGAACGCUAGCGGCAGGCCUAACACAUAGUCGAGGGGUAGAAGGAGCUUGCUCCCCUGAGACCGGCGCACGGGUGCGUAACGCGUAUGCAAUCAGCCUUGUUCAAAGGGAUAGCCCAGAGAAAUUUGGAUUAAUACCUUAUAGUAUUAUAAAGUGGCAUCAUUUAAUAAUUAAAGAUUUAUCGGAACAAGAUGCUAAUGCGUCCCAUUAGCUAGUUGGUAUGGUAACGGCAUACCAAGGCAAUGAUGGGUAGGGGUCCUGAGAGGGAGAUCCCCCACACUGGUACUGAGACACGGAUGGGACUCCUACGGGAGGCAGCAGUGAGGAAUAUUGGACAAUGGGCGCAAGCCUGAUCCAGCCAUGCCGCGUGCAGGAAGAUCACUAUGGAUUGUAAACUGCUUUUAUACAGGAAGAAACACUUCGACGUGUCGGGACUUGACGGUACUGUAGGAAUAAGGAUCGGCUAACUCCGUGCCAGCAGCCGCGGUAAUACGGAGGAUCCAAGCGGAUCCGGAAUCAUUGGGUUUAAAGGGUCCGUAGGCGGGCUUAUAAGUCAGUGGUGAAAUCUCCCAGCUCAACUGGGAAACUGCCAUUGAUACUGUAGGUCUUGAAACAUUAGGAAGUAACUAGAAUAUGUAGUGUAGCGGUGAAAUGCUUAGAUAUUACAUGGAAUACCAAUUGCGAAGGCAGGUUACUACUAAUAUAUUGACGCUGAUGGACGAAAGCGUGCCUAGCGAACAGGAUUAGAUACCCUGGUAGUCCACGCCGUAAACGAUGGAUACUAGCUGUUCGGAGCAAUCUGAGUGGCUAAGCGAAAGUGAUAAGUAUCCCACCUGGCCAGUACGAACGCAAGUUAGAAACUCAAAGGAAUUGACGGGGGCCCGCACAAGCGGUGGAGCCAGGGGUUUAAUUCGAUGAUACGCGAGGAACCUUACCAAGGCUUAAAUGUAGUUUGACAGAUUUGGAAACAGAUCCUCUUCGGACAAAUUACAAGGUGCUGCAUGGUUGUCGUCAGCUGGUGCUGAGGUGUCAGGUUAAGUCCUAUAACGACGGCGCAACCCCUGUUGUUAGUUGCCAGCGAGUAAUGUCCCGAACUCUAACGAGACUGCCAGUGCCCCUGUGAGGAAGGUGGGGAUGACGUCAAAUCAUCACGGCCCUUACGCCUUGGGCCACACACGUGCUACAAUGGACGGUACAGAGAGCAGCUACAUGGUGGUUGAUGCGAAUCUUCAAAACCGUUCUCAGUUCGGAUCGGAGUCUGCAACUCGACUCCGUGAAGCUGGAAUCGCUAGUAAUCGGAUAUCAGCCAUGAUCCGGUCAUUACGUUCCCGGGCCUUGUACACACCGCCCGUCAAGCCAUGGAAGCUGGGGGUACCUGAAGUCGGUGACCGCAAGGAGCUGCCUACCCUAAAACUGGUAACUGGGAGCUA
rnacentral:rRNA from 1 species